rnacentral:rRNA from 1 species
GUGGGGAAUAUUGGACAAUGGGCGAAAGCCUGAUCCAGCCAUGCCGCGUGUGUGAAGAAGGUCUUCGGAUUGUAAAGCACUUUAAGUUGGGAGGAAGGGUAGUAACCUAAUACGUUGCUACUUUGACGUUACCGACAGAAUAAGCACCGGCUAACUUCGUGCCAGCAGCCGCGGUAAUACGAAGGGUGCAAGCGUUAAUCGGAAUUACUGGGCGUAAAUCGAGCGUAGGUGGUUCAGUAAGUUGGAAGUGAAAUCCCCGGGCUCAACCUGGGAACUGCUUUCAAAACUGCUGAGCUAGAGUACGGUAGAGGGUGGUGAAAUUUCCUGUGUAGCGGUGAAAUGCGUAGAUAUAGGAAGGAACACCAGUGGCGAAGGCGACCACCUGGACUGAUACUGACACUGAGGUGCGAAAGCGUGGGGAGCAAACAGGAUUAGAUACCCGUGUAGUCC